rnacentral:rRNA from 1 species
CUCUUGGGGCUUCGGUUUCAAGGGAGUGGCGCACGGGUGAGUAGCGCGUGGGAACCUGCCCUGUUGUGGGGGAUAACCGAGGGAAACUUCGGCUAAUACCGCAUACGCCGGUUGUCUUGAGAGAGAUGGCCGGGAAAGAUUGAUCGCAGCAGGAGGGGCCCGCGUCGGAUUAGGUAGUUGGUGGGGUAACGGCCUACCAAGCCUGUGAUCCGUAGCUGGUCUGAGAGGAUGAUCAGCCACACUGGGACUGAGACACGGCCCAGACUCCUACGGGAGGCAGCAGUGGGGAAUAUUGGACAAUGGGCGCAAGCCUGAUCCAGCAAUGCCGCGUGAGUGAUGAAGGCCUUCGGG